rnacentral:rRNA from 1 species
CAUGGGGAGCAAACAGGAUUUGGUACCCUGGUAGUCCAUGCCUUAAACAAUGAAUAUUACAUAUUAGAUUUAAUAUCUUUGAUAUUGAAAAAUCUAGUAUAGAAAGUUAACACGUUAAAUAUUUCGCCUGGGGAGUAAAACCGCAAGGUUGAAACUCAAAGGAAUUGACGGGAGCUUAUACUUACGGUGGAGCAUGUGGUUUAAUCCGAUAGUCCGCGUGGAAUCUUACCAAUUUUUGACAAGUUAUUUUUUAUUUUAAAUAAUACAGGUGUUGCAUGGCCGUCGUCAGCUUAUGUUUUGAAAUUUAAUAUAUAAGUACAACCCUUAUUUUAAUUUGCUAUAAUUUAAAAAGAAUAAUAUUAUUAUGUUAAACUAUUAAAUUUGCACUAUUAAAAUUAAAUAAAUAUAAGUAAAAAUUAUAUUUAAAAGGAUGAAGA